GUACACUCCUACGGGAGGCAGCAGUGGGGAAUUUUGGACAAUGGGCGAAAGCCUGAUCCAGCAAUGCCGCGUGAGUGAAGAAGGCCUUCGGGUUGUAAAGCUCUUUUGUCAGGGAAGAAACGGUGAAAGCUAAUAUCUUUUGCUAAUGACGGUACCUGAAGAAUAAGCACCGGCUAACUACGUGCCAGCAGCCGCGGUAAUACGUAGGGUGCAAGCGUUAAUCGGAAUUACUGGGCGUAAAGCGUGCGCAGGCGGUUUUGUAAGUCUGAUGUGAAAUCCCCGGGCUCAACCUGGGAAUUGCAUUGGAGACUGCAAGGCUAGAAUCUGGCAGAGGGGGGUAGAAUUCCACGUGUAGCAGUGAAAUGCGUAGAUAUGUGGAGGAACACCGAUGGCGAAGGCAGCCCCCUGGGUCAAGAUUGACGCUCAUGCACGAAAGCGUGGGGAGCAAACAGGAUUAGAUACCCUAGUAGUCCC
rnacentral:rRNA from 1 species